rnacentral:rRNA from 1 species
UACGAAGGGGGCUAGCGUUGCUCGGAAUCACUGGGCGUAAAGGGCGCGUAGGCGGUGCGGUAAGUCACCUGUGAAAUCUCCUGGCUCAACUGGGAGCUUGCAGGCGAAACUGCCGUGCUGGAGUGGUGGGAGAGGUGCGUGGAAUUCCUGGUGUAGCGGUGAAAUGCGCAGAUAUCAGGAGGAACACCGGUGGGCGAAGGCGGUUCUCUGGGCCUGUUCUGACGCUGGAGGAGCGAAAGCGUGGGGAGCGAACAGG